CCUGUAACUGACGCUGAGGCGCGAAAGCGUGGGGAGCAAACAGGAUUAGAUACCCUGGUAGUCCACGCCGUAAACGAUGAGUGCUAGGUGUUGGGGGGUUCCACCCUCAGUGCUGAAGUUAACACAUUAAGCACUCCGCCUGGGGAGUACGACCGCAAGGUUGAAACUCAAAGGAAUUGACGGGGGCCCGCACAAGCAGUGGAGCAUGUGGUUUAAUUCGAAGCAACGCGAAGAACCUUACCAGGUCUUGACAUCCUUUGACCACUCUAGAGAUAGAGCUUUCCCCUUCGGGGGACAAAGUGACAGGUGGUGCAUGGUUGUCGUCAGCUCGUGUCGUGAGAUGUUGGGUUAAGUCCCGCAACGAGCGCAACCCUUGACCUUAGUUGCCAGCAUUCAGUUGGGCACUCUAAGGUGACUGCCGGUGACAAACCGGAGGAAGGUGGGGAUGACGUCAAAUCAUCAUGCCCCUUAUGACCUGGGCUACACACGUGCUACAAUGGAUGAUACAAAGGGUUGCGAAGCCGCGAGGCCAAGCCAAUCCCAAAAAGUCAUUCUCAGUUCGGAUUGUAGGCUGCAACUCGCCUACAUGAAGCCGGAAUUGCUAGUAAUCGCGGAUCAGCAUGCCGCGGUGAAUACGUUCCCGGGCCUUGUACACACCGCCCGUCACACCACGAGAGUUUGUAACACCCGAAGU
rnacentral:rRNA from 1 species